CGGAGGAUCCAAGCGUUAUCCGGAUUUAUUGGGUUUAAAGGGUGCGUAGGCGGCUUAUUAAGUCAGGGGUGAAAGACGGUGGCUCAACCAUCGCAGUGCCCUUGAUACUGAUGAGCUUGAAUGGACUAGAGGUAGGCGGAAUGUGACAAGUAGCGGUGAAAUGCAUAGAUAUGUCACAGAACACCGAUUGCGAAGGCAGCUUACUAUGGUUUAAUUGACGCUGAGGCACGAAAGCGUGGGGAUCAAACAGGAUUAGAUACCCUGGUAGUCCACGCCCUAAACGAUGAAUACUCGCUGUUAGCGAUAUACAGUUAGCGGCUAAGCGAAGGCGUUAAGUAUUCCACCUGGGGAGUACGCCCGCAAGGGUG
rnacentral:rRNA from 1 species